rnacentral:rRNA from 1 species
AUGGAAGCGGAGUGGUCGGGAAGUACUUGCACUUAUCAAAGGAUAGCAGAACAAAGGAGAGGGAAACAAAUUCUCCAGCUCGGAGAACAAGCGAAGCAAUUGUGCCCUCCGCUCAAUGUGUCUAGCGAUAUCGUCGCUAAUCUUCCAGGGAUGCUGCCCGGUACCAAUCCUGGAGAUUACAUGCCCGAUGAUGCACUUUUUGAUACAAUGGAGGUGGACACAUUAAAAUACCAGCACGGGAAUCCUCUCGUCAAACCUGGUACUCCUCUAACAACAAUGAUGCGAAGAUUCCAUGAUUGGUACAUGGACAUCUGCAGGAAGUCUGGGACGGAUACUUUGACGCUGAGAGUUAAAGAGGAGCAUGAUCUCGUUGGAAUUGAUCUGUUGUAUGUUCCAUAUGAGGAGUUCUUCUAG